UACAGAGGUCUCAAGCGUUGUUCGGAUUCAUUGGGCGUAAAGGGCGCGUAGGCGGCGGGGUAAGUCGGGUGUGAAAUCUCAGAGCUCAACUCUGAAAUGGCACUUGAUACUGCUCUGCUAGAGGACUGGAGAGGAGAUUGGAAUUCACGGUGUAGCAGUGAAAUGCGUAGAUAUCGUGAGGAAGACCGGUGGCGAAGGCGGAUCUCUGGACAGUUCCUGACGCUGAGGCGCGAAGGCC
rnacentral:rRNA from 1 species